rnacentral:rRNA from 1 species
AUUGAACGCCGGCGGCAUGCUUUACACAUGCAAGUCGAACGGUAACAGGGAGCUUGCUCCGCUGACGAGUGGCGAACGGGUGAGUAAUGCGUCGGAACGUGCCGAGUAGUGGGGGAUAACGCAUCGAAAGGUGUGCUAAUACCGCAUACGUACUGAGGUAGAAAGUGGGGGACCUUCGGGCCUCACGCUAUUCGAGCGGCCGACGUCUGAUUAGCUGGUUGGUGAGGUAAAGGCUCACCAAGGCGACGAUCGGUAGCGGGUCUGAGAGGAUGGUCCGCCAAACUGGGACUGAGACACGGCCCAGACUCCUACGGGAGGCAGCAGUGGGGAAUUUUGGACAAUGGGCGCAAGCCUGAUCCAGCCAUGCCGCGUGUCUGAAGAAGGCCUUCGGGUUGUAAAGGACUUUUGUCCGGGAGCAAAUGCUGGUGGCUAACAUCCACCGGAGCUGAGAGUACCGGAAGAAUAAGCACCGGCUAACUACGUGCCAGCCGCCGCGGUAAAAC